AGGUAAUGGCUUACCAAGACUAUGAUGUGUAGCUGGACUGAGAGGUUGAACGGCCACAUUGGGACUGAGAUACGGCCCAAACUCCUACGGGAGGCAGCAGUAAGGAAUUUUCGGCAAUGGAGGAAACUCUGACCGAGCAACGCCGCGUGAACGAUGAAGUAUUUAGGUACGUAAAGUUCUUUUAUUAAAGAAGAAAAAAUGAUGGAAAAAUCAUUCUGACGGUAUUUAAUGAAUAAGCCCCGGCUAACUAUGUGCCAGCAGCUGCGGUAAUACAUGGGGGGCAAGCGUUAUCCGGAUUUAUUGGGCGUAAAGGGUGCGUAGGCGGUUAAAUAAGUCUAUGGUAUAAGUUCAACGCUUAACGUUGUGAUGCUAUAGAAACUGUUUGACUAGAGUUGGAUAGAGGCAAGUGGAAUUCCAUGUGUAGCGGUAAAAUGCGUAAAUAUAUGGAGGAACACCAGUAGCGAAGGCGGCUUGCUGGGUCUUAACUGACGCUGAGGCACGAAAGCGUGGGGAGCAAACAGGAUUAGAUACCCUGGUAGUCCACGCCGUAAACGAUGAGUACUAAGUGUUGGGUUAAACCAGUGCUGAAGUUAACACAUUAAGUACUCCGCCUGAGUAGUACGUACGCAAGUAUGAAACUUAAAGGAAUUGACGGGACUCCGCACAAGCGGUGGAUCAUGUUGUUUAAUUCGAAGAUACACGAAAAACCUUACCAGGUCUUGACAUACUCUGCAAAGCUAUAGAAAUAUAGUGGAGGUUAUCAGGGAUACAGGUGGUGCAUGGUUGUCGUCAGCUCGUGUCGUGAGAUGUUGGGUUAAGUCCCGCAACGAGCGCAACCCUUAUCACUAGUUACCAUCAUUUAGUUGGGCACUUUAGUGAGACUGCCAAUGAUAAAUUGGAGGAAGGUGGGGAUUACGUCAAAUCAUCAUGCCCCUUAUGACCUGGGCUACAAACGUGAUACAAUGGCUGUUACAAAGAGUA
rnacentral:rRNA from 1 species